rnacentral:rRNA from 1 species
CAAUAGCGUAUACUAAAGUUGUUGCAGUUAAAACGCUCGUAGUCGGAUUUCGGGGCCUGCCUGCCGGUCUGCCGAUGGGUAUGCACUGGCAGGCGCGUCCUUCCUUCCGGAGACUGUCCCUACUCUUAACUGAGCGGGGUCGGGAGACGGAUCGUUUACUUUGAAAAAUCAGAGUGUUUCAAGCAGGCAGCUCGCUCUUGCAUGGAUUAGCAUGGGAUAAUGAAAUAGGACUUUGGUGCUAUUUUGUUGGUUUCGAACACCGGAGUAAUGAUUAAAAGGGGCAGUCAGGGGCACUCGUAUUCCGUCGAGAGAGGUGAAAUUCUCAGACCAAUGGAAGACGAACCACUGCGAAAGCAUUUGCCAGGGAUGUUUUCACUGAUCAAGAACGAAAGUUAGGGGAUCAAAGAUGAUUAGAUACCAU